AGAAGGGAGCUGCUGUCUGAGGAGGAAACUGCAUCUUCGCGGGCCAGCUACGAGAGGAUCUGGGGUCGCGCUGGGCGCCCGACGGACCCUCCCCAGGGACUCGCCUGCCCCACACCGCCCGGCCUUGCCCGGCGCUCCGCGUCAGGUUCCCCAGCCGCAGCCUUACCUACGGGCUCCAGAAUCCUCAGGGCUUCCAGAGGAUGCUCAGCCCACCGACGGGGACCUCGGGGCAGCAGUGAGGGGGGCACCCAGCCCCCCAUUCAGCUCCUGUCCUCUUGGGCCGGGGGCCUCCCCGGGGGGAAGAGCAUGGUGGUUUUCCCUUGGAGCCCCCUGGCUUGGUACGUCUGAGCAGAUGCCUGCCAUGAGGCUCUUCACUUGCUUCCUGCAGCUUCUGGCUGGGCUGGCACUGCCGGCUGUGCCCCCCCAGCAGUGGGCCUUGUCUGCUGGGAACAGCUCAUCGGAGGUGGAAGUGGUGCCCUUCCAGGAGGUGUGGGGCCGCAGCUACUGCCGGGCGCUGGAGAGGCUGGUGGACAUCGUGUCUGUGUACCCCAGUGAGGUGGAGCACAUGUUCAGCCCGUCCUGCGUCUCCCUGCUGCGCUGCACCGGCUGCUGUGGCGACGAGAACCUGCACUGUGUGCCCGUGGAGACGGUCAAUGUCACCAUGCAGCUCCUGAAGAUCCGCUCUGGGGACCGGCCCUCCUACGUGGAGCUGACAUUCUCUCAGCACGUGCGCUGCGAGUGCAGGUGGGUCCUGGGGUGUGGCAGGGACAGUCCCCACGCACUUGGCAGCUUCAGCCCAGGGGCUGCCCAUUCCUGCUUCAGGCCACACUUCCUUCCUGGCUGAGGCAGGCCAGGGAGACCGGGGGCCAGGGGCAGUUGCCUUGUGUCUCCCCAGCAGCUGGUUUUGCCCCGGGAAGUGGUCCCAGCAGCUGGAGCACAGCUGCCAAGAAGCCACAGGGACAAAGGGAGCUGGGGUCCCUCCCAGACUUGCAGGGGGCUCGGGGCCCACCCUCUCCGACCCUGAGCAGGAGGUGGCUGCCACAGCCCUAGCAGAGGUGCCUGGAUUUAGUUGUAGGCCAGGCUGGUGCCUACAGGAGGGGUAGCUGGGCUGAGAAGCACAAGACGACAAGCCUGGGUGGGAGGAAAGGGACAGAGGGAAGAAGGCCCUGGCUUUCUUUCAAGUCACACCCCUGCCUGGCAGAGCCUCUCAUUGGCACCAGUCUUGCUGUGGGUGCCCAAGGCACUCUGCACGUUAGUUACCGGGAGCAGCAGGGCCAGCACUGCCAACCAGGCUCAGGGAAGAGAAAAAUGGGCUCAGGUGCUCUCCUGGUGCCCCUCAGCCAUGGAUGGAGGCGCCAGGCCAGAGGUCCCAAGCCCUAUCGGGGGGCAGGAAGAGGGGAGGAUCUCCAUUUAUGGGGCACCUACUCUGUGCCUUGAGGCACUUGAAUGUGUUUUCUCAUUUAUUUAACAAACAUCUAUGGAGCACCUACUGUAUGCUAGGCACUGUCCCAGAUGCCUGGGUACAGUAGUGAGCAAGACACACCAGGUCCCUGCUCUCAUAACCCCAGGAGGUAGGUACUAUUGGCGUCCCAUUGUGCGGAUGAGGAAACCGAGGCUCGGUGUGAUUCUGUGAUUUGUCACAGCUAGUGAGUCAACCCCAGCCUGUCUGACUCCUAAGCCUGCCCCUUUCCUGCUCCCUGUCAUGGCCAUGGCCUCACUCUUCAGGAGUCCCAGACUGCCCUGGCCUUGGUCCUGCCUAGAGUCCAGGACACUGGCCACCCCUCGUGGACCUGUACCACUGUUAGAGGCCCUGCCUCAGUCUGUUUCCUCCUGUCUGUCCUUAGCCGUGUAACAAUAGUUCAGUAAUGAACCCUUUCAGACACAGUACUGGACAAUGACCUUUCACCUCCCACAUCACCUUUGCCCUCACAGUUGGUCUAUUAGGGCAGGUAGAUGAGGAGACUGAGGGCCCUAGAGUGUCUCUGACUGGUCCCAGAUGGCAGAGACAGGACCAGGCAGUUUCAGGAAGGGCUGGUACCGUAUCCUGGCUCCCCCCAGCCCUAAAGCUGACUGCACCACACUGCCCCAUGCCCUCACCCUGGUUCCCAGGGAAGACUGAGGCUCCGUCCCCUUUCAGAGGGCUGGGCAACAGGGCUACCUUUCUCCUCUCUCGGGGUCAACAGCCACAGCCCUGAGAGGCAGAGCCAGGACAAGCUUGGCGACUGUGGGGCCUGUGCUCCCCUCCCUUCACCCCACUCCUCACCUGAGCCCCUUGCUGUUGCCUGCAGCGUCACACAUCUCCAGGAUGGGGGUGCAGCUGUGCCCUGACAGGUGGCCUUGCCCCUCUUUCAUGGUCUGAGGAGACUCCCAGAGGGCAUUCUGGAAGGAAGAGCAGGCACAAGGGAAGAGAGUGAAACAAGAAAGGUGGCAGAAAGGAGAGUCAGUCCCCUGAUUUGACGCCAAGAGGGAGAGUAGAGCAGAGGGUGUGGAGAGGACCCCAAGAGGGCAUUCACACCUCUCUGCAUGGGGUCACCAGAGCCUAGAGUGGGAGCCCCAGGCCCCAGACUUCUGGGCAUCGCUCCCUCACUGGCUCCAUGCUACCCCCUAGUGGCUUCAAUGCCAACUACAGGAUCGGCACUAGAAAGGAGGAGACCCAAGGGCAGGGGGAAGAGGAAGAGAGAGAAGCAGAGACACACAGACUGCCACCUGUGCGGUGAUACUGUUCCCCGGAGGUAACCAGCCCCUCGGAGGAGAGAGACGGAGACCCCACGCCCGGCUCGUGUAUUUAUUACCGUUACACUCUCAGUUACCUCCCUGCUGGCACCUGCCCUCUAUUUAUUAGCCAAGUGUAUCCCUGCUGAAUGACUCACUCCCUUCAAGAUGAGGGGCAGGAAGGGACAGGACCCUCAGGAAUUCAGUGCCUUAAACAGAACGUGAGAGAAAGAAAGAAGACAGAUCCACGCGUGCGUCAUCUGGGGAAGAAGCAAGACUUGUGGCUUUGUGAGGGGCGUGUCACACCCCAGAGGCCUGAGGGUCUCCAGGGUGCUGGAGAGGGAGGGACGGGGGGGACAUGCCACCUGUCCCCAGGGCCUUGGGCUCUGCCGGGACCAGCAGCCCUUGCCUGGGGAGCUCCCUGCCGGGAUGAGGGUGGAGGAGCCUUCUCUGGCCGCCGUGGCCCCUGCCGGGAGGGCGGGCAAGCAGCAGCCCCGCGCCCUGGAGACAGGAUGUUCAGCUCUGGAGACCAGUGGUUGCCUGGGGGCCUUUGCCACUCCUUGUCCCCUAGGUCUCGCCUCAUAUCUUACCACCGCUUGUGCUGGGACAUUGCUCUUUAUGCCAAGGCAUCCCCACCUGCCCCUCUCGGGGACGCAGGCAGAGAGGGCCCAGGCUGGUCAUGGAGCAAGCUGUCCCCGCGAGGCCGUCUGACCGCCAAGCCAGAUUCUCUUGAAUAAAGUACUCUAGUCUGGAAGCGGCUUUCCAGGGGAGUGAGUGUGACCACGAGAGCAGAGGGCAACAGCGGGAAUGGGAGCAGUACGGGACAAAAAGGAACCGUGGGCCGCAAGGCUGCCCAUGGCCCGGCUCCAGCCUGCCCCUGCCCUUCCCUGGCCUUCUUCUUCCAGCUGCUUUAGGCACCACCCUGAGGCCCAUGCCUCCCAGAAAGAGGGUUUCCUAAGAUGGAGCCUUGGCCCCAAACUUGGGGGCACCUGACCCCGGUCAACCCCAAACACUCUCAAAUUCAAGAACAUGGUCCCGGAGUUCCCGUUGUGGCACCGCGGAAACAAAUCCGACUAGGAACCAUGAGGUUGCGGGUUCGAUCCCUGGCCUUGCUCAGUGGGUUGCGGAUCCAGCGUUGCUGUGAGCUGUGGUGUAGGUCGCAGACGCAGCUCGGAUCCCAAGUUGCUGAGGCUGUGGUGUAGGCCAGCCCCUGCAGCUCUGCUUUGACCCCUAGCCUGGAAACCUCCCUAUGCUGUGGUAUGGCCCUAAAAAGC
rnacentral:lncRNA from 1 species